CUACGGGCCGCAGCAGUGGGGAAUAUUGGACAAUGGGGGAAACCCUGAUCCAGCAAUGCCGCGUGUGUGAAGAAGGCCUGCGGGUUGUAAAGCACUUUCGGUUGGGAGGACUGCUUCUAGCACUAAUAUUGUUGGAAGUUGACGUUACCUUCAGAAGAAGCACCGGCUAACUCCGUGCCAGCAGCCGCGGUAAUACGGAGGGUGCAAGCGUGAAUCGGAAUUACUGGGCGUAAAGCGCGCGUAGGCGGCUAGAUCAGUCGGGUGUGAAGGCCCCGGGCUUAACCUGGGAACUGCAUCCGAUACUGUCUAGCUUGAGUACAGGAGAGGAGAGUGGAAUUCCACAUGUAGCAGUGAAAUGCGUAGAUAUGUGGAGGAACACCAAUGGCGAAGGCAGCUCUCUGGCCUGAUACUGACGCUGAGGUGCGGAAGCGUGGGGAGCAAACAGGAUUAGAUACCCCCGUAGUC
rnacentral:rRNA from 1 species